rnacentral:rRNA from 1 species
GACAGAGGAUGCAAGCGUUAUCCGGAAUGAUUGGGCGUAAAGCGUCUGUAGGUGGCUUUUUUAAGUCCGCCGUCAAAUCCCAGGGCUCAACCCUGGACAGGCGGUGGAAACUACCCAAGCUGGAGUACGGUAGGGGCAGAGGGAAUUUCCGGUGGAGCGGUGAAAUGCGUAGAUAUCAGGAGGAACACCGAUGGCGAAGGCAGGUCUCUGGGCAUUUAACUGACGUGAGGAGCGAAAAGCAUGGGGGAGCGAACAGGGAUUAGAAA